ensembl:misc_RNA Metazoa_SRP Metazoan signal recognition particle RNA
GCCGGGGGCGUGUGCCUGUAGUCCUAGCUACUCGGGAGGCUGAGGUAUGAGGAUCACUUGAGCCCAGGAGUUCUGGGCUGCCAAUCGGGUGUCUCUACUAAGUUUGGCAUCAAUCCUCCCGGGAGUGGGGGACCACCAGGUUGCCUAAGGAGGGGUGAACUGGCCCAGGUCAGAAACGGAGCAGGUCAAAACUCCCGUGCUGAUUAGCUGUGGGAUUGCACCUGUGAAUAGCCACGGCACUCCAGCCUGGGCAACACAGCGAGACCCCAUCUCUG